rnacentral:lncRNA from 1 species
GGGAGACUGAGGGCCAGAAAGCCACCCUCCCUCUCCCGAGCCAGCCCAGCCCUCUGGCAGGCACCACCUGCGCCCCUCCCAUCAUUGCCUGGCGCUGUCUGGAGGGGAAGGCAGAGUUCACAGUGGUUAGCGGCUUGCCAAGUUCACACAGCCAGUCGGUCCCAAUGAAAACAUGGGAAACAGGGCGGAGGAGAAUGGGUUCAUUUUCCCACAUUAGAGCCCCCCCUCACCUCCACCACAUCCCCUCCCCCACACCCCCACCUAGAAGAAAUCAGUAGAUUAGAAACCCAGAAUGUUGAGAAAGCGCGCCCAGGAAAGGAUGAGCUCAGGGAGGCUGAUCUAGGAGCAGGUGCGGAAGCUGCGGCUCGGAGACUGGACAAGGCCAGACUGGGACGCCUGGGAGCCCAGCCACACCCCCUGAGCCCUUUCCAAGUCACCGGAGAAGGUGGCUGCUGUGCUGUUGGGUACGGACGGUUUAUGACUGUUCUAGCCUCCUCGGGGAACGUGCCUUCCUUCAUUAAAUAAGGUUCCUCUUUGUCCCGUGUCAUGCUUUUAGACUUGAAUUCU